GUUGUAGCUCAGUGGUAGAGUACAUGGUUAACAUGCAAGAAGCCUGGGUUCAAUUCCCAGCACAUACA
rnacentral:tRNA from 1 species